rnacentral:rRNA from 1 species
UACGGAGGGUGCGAGCGGUGUCCGGAAUCACUGGGCGUAAAGGGCGCGUAGGCGGCCAUCUAAGUCGAACGUGAAAUCCCCGGGCUCAACCCGGGAACUGCGUCCGAUACUGGUUGGCUUGAAUCCGGGAGAGGGAUGCGGAAUUCCAGGUGUAGCGGUGAAAUGCGUAGAUAUCUGGAGGAACACCGGUGGCGAAGGCGGCAUCCUGGACCGGCAUUGACGCUGAGGCGCGAAAGCCAGGGGAGCAAACGGG